rnacentral:sRNA from 1 species
GCCAGGUGCAGUGGUGCAUGCCUGUAAUCCCAGUACUCGGGAGGCUGAGGCAGGAGGAUUGCGAGUUCAAAGCCAGCCUCAGCAAAAAACUAGGCACUAAGUAGCUUGGUGAGACACUGCCUCUA